ACUGUAUGUGAACAUAAAUACAUGUAGAAACAUCUCAAUGCACGGUGAAUGUAGGUCGGCCUACUGACUGUAUGUGAACAUAAAUACAUGUAGAAACAUCUCAA